UCUCAGAGAAUAAUGAACAGAGCCAGGGA
rnacentral:piRNA from 1 species